CGAUAAAGCCUGGGGAUGCCUC
rnacentral:piRNA from 1 species